AGAGUUUGAUCCUGGCUCAGAACGAACGUUAGCGGCGCGCUUAACACAUGCAAGUCGAACGAGAAAGCACCUUCGGGUGUGAGUAAAGUGGCGCACGGGUGAGUAACACGUGGGUUAUCUACCUUUUGGUGGGGGACAACAUCUCGAAAGGGGUGCUAAUACCGCAUAAGUCCACUUCGGUGGGGAAAGGUGGCCUCUCCUUGGAAGCUAUCGCCAGAAGAUGAGCCCGCGGCCCAUCAGCUUGUUGGUAGGGUAAAAGCCUACCAAGGCGACGACGGGUAGCUGGUCUGAGAGGAUGAUCAGUCACACUGGAACUGAGAUACGGUCCAGACUCCUACGGGAGGCAGCAGUGGGGAAUAUUGCGCAAUGGGCGAAAGCCUGACGCAGCGACGCCGCGUGGGUGAUGAAGGUUUUCGGAUCGUAAAGCCCUGUAGGAGAGGGAAGAACAACUUAUAGGACUAAUACCCUAUAGGCUUGACGGUACCUCUCCAGAAAGCACCGGCUAACUCCGUGCCAGCAGCCGCGGUAAUACGGAGGGUGCUAACGUUGUUCGGAAUCACUGGGCGUAAAGCGCGUGUAGGCGGCUUGGCAAGUCAGGUGUGAAAGCCCUCGGUUUAAUCGAGGAAGUGCACUUGAAACUGCUUCGCUAGAGUACGGGAGAGGGUAGUAGAAUUCCCGGUGUAGAGGUGAAAUUCGUAGAUAUCGGGAGGAAUACCGGUGGCGAAGGCGGCUACCUGGACCGAUACUGACGCUGAGAAGCGAAAGCGUGGGGAGCAAAUAGGAUUAGAUAUUUUGGUAGUCCACGCCGUAAACGAUGGACACUAGGUGCUGCGGGUAUUGACCCCUGCGGUGCCGUAGCUAACGCGUUAAGUGUCCCGCCUGGGGAGUACGGCCGCAAGGCUAAAACUCAAAGGAAUUGACGGGGGCCCGCACAAGCGGUGGAGCAUGUGGUUUAAUUUGAAGCAACGUGCAGAACCUUACCUGGGCUGGAAACCUAUGGAAUCCCCUUGAAAGAGGGGAGUGCCCUUCGGGGAAUCAUAGUUCAGGUGCUGCAUGGCUGUCGUCAGCUCGUGUUGUGAGAUGUUGGGUUAAGUCCCGCAACGAGCGCAACCCCUGUCGUUAGUUGCUACCAGUUUGGCUGGGCACUCUAGCGAGACUGCCGGUAUCAAGCCGGAGGAAGGUGGGGAUGACGUCAAGUCCUCAUGGCCCCUAUGUCCAGGGCUACACACGUGCUACAAUGGCCGGUACAGAGAGCAGCGAGCUCGUGAGGGUAAGCGAAUCUCAAAAAGCCGGUCUCAGUACGGAUUGGAGUCUGUAAUUCGACUCCAUGAAGGCGGAAUCGCUAGUAAUCGCGGAUCAGUACGCCGCGGUGAAUACGUUCCCGGGCCU
rnacentral:rRNA from 1 species